GGAGGUCGCUCAGGUGGUAGAGCGCAUGCUUAGCACGCAUGAGGUCCUGGGUUCGAUCCCCAGUACCUCCA
rnacentral:tRNA from 1 species